rnacentral:lncRNA from 1 species
GUGCCGAAAUUAUAUACGAUAGCAAAAGAUGGACAUACGAAGGUUAACCGAAGACGGGUAUUUAAGCUUCAUAUCUCAGCCGAAGCCUACACGAUGGAUCACGAAGGCUACACGAUGGAUUACGAAGGCUACACGAUGGAUUACGAUGAUAGCGCGAUGACCAUACGAUGUCUAAAAGACGUCGUGUACAGCUUACGAUGCAUUUAAAUAAACUCAUCAUAGAUACCAGGACUAAAUUUUGU